UCCAUACUGCCUUUAGUCUGUUUUAGUGGCUGCACUUUGGUAACCCUUUCACCAGGCAGUGCCUAUAUUAUUGGGUCAUACAUGUUAUAUGGCAUAUGGAGUAAUCUUGUCUCUUAAUAUCAGGGAUCAGCUUUCAGGGUAGCAUCUUCAACUACCCUGUUCAGGGGUGUCCCAAUGCAUAAUGUUUUGCUGUGACAGGCUGGUCCUGCUACACACCAGGCAUGACUGAUGUCUUUCUUCGGACAAUCAGAAUCUGAGGGACACGUUGUAACAGCGUCAUGAACUGUACAGGGUUCUUCAUCCUGACCACCAGGGGGUUCUAGGUGCUCCCUGGGUGUGAUAAAAGGUGAGAAAGUAGUAGAGUGAGAGAGAGGACAGCAUGGUGUGCCUUGUGUUCCUUCUCUGCCUUGAGAGACCAUCCGUGUUGGGAAAUGUAAUUGUUUGCUGCUCAAUUAAGGAUUUUGGUUUAUGUACUACACUUCUUGUACAUCAACUCAUGCUAUGGGAAUAAUGUGGAUGUGCUAUCAUUAUAGAAGUGCCUGAUGUGCCAGGACAUAUGGGACAUUCCCUACAUUAUGUCUGGAAGUUACCACAAGUACAAUUAUUCUUUCCAUUGUUAAAACUGGCUGUGAUUUUUUGGUUAUUUGUUAAUUUCUACUAUCUUUGUUUGUUUUUUGUUUGGUCAUUGUUUGUACUCAUGCAUGGUCUAAAUGGAAUCUCUGAAGAAUUGAGUCAUUGAUAAACACGGAUUUUUUUGUUUGCAUACCAAAAGAACUUAAUCCACAAACAGGUUAAAUAAAAACCUCUAUUGAUGUA